rnacentral:rRNA from 1 species
UGGGGAAUAUUGGACAAUGGGGGCAACCCUGAUCCAGCAAUGCCGCGUGUGUGAAGAAGGUCUUCGGAUUGUAAAGCACUUUCGACGGGGACGAUGAUGACGGUACCCGUAGAAGAAGCCCCGGCUAACUUCGUGCCAGCAGCCGCGGUAAUACGAAGGGGGCUAGCGUUGCUCGGAAUGACUGGGCGUAAAGGGCGUGUAGGCGGUUUACACAGUCAGAUGUGAAAUCCCCGGGCUUAACCUGGGAGCUGCAUUUGAUACGUGUAGACUAGAGUGUGAGAGAGGGUUGUGGAAUUCCCAGUGUAGAGGUGAAAUUCGUAGAUAUUGGGAAGAACACCGGUGGCGAAGGCGGCAACCUGGCUCAUGACUGACGCUGAGGCGCGAAAGCGUGGGGAGCAAACAGGAUUAGAUACCCUGGUAGUCCACGCUGUAAACGAUGUGUGCUAGAUGUUGGGUAACUUUGUUAUUCAGUGUCGCAGUUAACGCGUUAAGCACACCGCCUGGGGAGUACGGCCGCAAGGUUG